ensembl:lncRNA
GCCGUAUUCAACGGGUCAUUUCUAAUCACCUCUAGUCUAGAGUGGAAUGAUUUUAUUACAAUGACCAUCACUGCGCACAGUGACAAUGGGGAUCCCAAGGAUAUUUCCCUAUCAAAAACCCUUCCUGUUCUUUUUGCUGUCAACCUAGCUGUGACAUUGUAAGUCCACAGUGCCUUCAUCCUGUGUUGUCUCUUCCAAACAAAUGAAACCCUAUCCAGAUAAAGGUUUCGACAGUAUUCAUAGUCAUAGACCAAACAAAAUUGUAUUUGAAAUAUUGUGUUUGUCAUUAUGUAAUUCUGACAUACAUGUAUGUGUUUGCGUUUAUCUCUUAAGCCUGGACACCCCUGGUGCCUCGACAACAUAUGUUGAUUACUCACUGGAGGACAGAGGGCCUAAAACCCACUUACACAUAUGUACCGGGUAAUCAGUCUACCUUUAUUAGGGCAAUGUAAACAAGUAUAACAGCUGUAUUCACAAUCCUGCACAGCAUUGUUGAAUGAUUAUCAUGUCUUUCGAUCUGAUGCUAUCUGUCAUUUUGUUACAUUACAGGUAGCUAACAUAGGCAUGCUACCUCUACCGGUCACAGUCAAAUUUACCUUCCCAACAAAACCUGGGAACUACGUUGAAAUUCAAAGCUACAGUAUUUCACAACUUAAGAACAAUUACACCAUACAGUGCAGUCCCCCUCAGGAGACAAUUACUCAGGUAAUAAACUUUUAACUACUUUAAGUUGUAAGGCUGUAAGAUUUCGCUACCCUUUAUUAUUUAAGCAGCAAUUCUUUUUUUACUUCACCGAAGCUAAUACAUGAGAGAUAUAUACAAUCUAAUUUCAACAGUUUUCAAUUUCAGGAGAAUUGUAGCUUUUGGUGGCCCCCCUUAAACUGUCAUUAAUCUUUAACUGUUGCUGAUAUUUUCAAUAAAACGAAGAGCUCAUUUGUUUCACAGAACUGUUCUAAGAUGGAAAGCUGCAAGAUGGUUGAGUGUCACAUUCCCACAUUAGACAGGACUGAGUCAGUUCUGUUCACACUGACUGUGAGUGCAGCCUUCAACCUCAAUCCCAAUAAAUAUACAUUCACUGAAAUGAGGUUUAAUAAGGACUACAAAAGUUUUGUGGAAAUCAACUAUAAUCAAACACGUUACAUACAGACUGGAAACGACCAAACUGUUCCUGGACUAGUUUCAGACUUCCAUCGGAUUCAGGGUGUAAGCAGAGCUGAGUUCAUUGUUCCAAUCAACACAUCUCUGAUCAUGGGUUUAGCAGGUGCUGGAGGACUGUUACUGCUAACCUUUAUUACUGCAGUUCUGGCCAAGUGUGGAUUUUUCAAGACAAACAGACCAAUUUUUACUCCAGUCAGGAGGUGACUCAAGAGACCCCGGAGUAUCAAGAAACCCUAUUCUAACAAGAAAAAUGAGAAACAUAUUAGCAGGACCAUGGGCACCUCCCUUAUGCAUAUAUAAGGCACAAUGUAACAUACCUGGCCUAAACAGUAGCAGGAAAGGAUGCUGGUACACAUAAUUGACACCAUGGGAUGGAUAUAUGCAGUGCAUUGUGAAACCCCCCUGAGUCAUCACUUUUUCCUAGUCUUGAUAGAAACUAGCCAAAACAAGUUCGGUCAUAUGUCCGUUAGCCAUGUGUCUUUCACUGAAAUAAUGGGACUGUAUGUGUGCUGUCAGAGCGUAAUUAAUAAGACCCGUUUCUUUAAGAGCCUUUCGUUUAUCAAUGACGUAAUCAAUAGGAUAUUUGAAAAGCUUUGGAUGCACUGUCGGUAUGUUAGUUUCGUUAUCGUUUUCUGUUUGUGAGUCUGUUACUAUUUGUUACAUUUCAUGUCUUUAGAUACACUGUGUAUGUUAGUUUGUGAUCGUUUUCUGUUCACGAUACCGUUACUAUCGUUUUCUGUUUGUGAGUCUGUUACUAUUUGUUACAUUUCAUGUCUUUAGAUACACUGUGUAUGUUAGUUUGUUAGUUAGAUGUACUGUUGGUUUGUUCGUUCGUGAUCAUGUUUGAUUUGUUAGCAAUAGUUAGUUUAACUCUAGAGUUAACUUUUAAUGUGUAGGCAUAUUAGCGUAUUAGCAUAUUGAUAGAAUUAAUUUGGAAACACUGUUCAUGACCUAAGAAUGUAUUAAUCGAGUGCCUUGUAUUAAUAUUUACCUUGUAUCAUUUUGUAACCAGGAACAUGGCUUUUCUGUGUCUUUGUGUGUGUGUAACUUAGAUUAUUAGGUGCUGAUGCCACUUAGUCUGCAUAUGUGGUAAGAGCUUUGCGUAAGAGAAGGAACCUUUUGUCUAUGUUUGGGUGAGCUCAGAGGUGAUAAGAAGGGUUGAACUGUGCUUGUUCGACCCUGUGAAAACUGACAUCCUUGCAUGACAGAAAGUUGAGUUGAGAUGACAGAAGAGGACUUUUAGUUGAGCGUGGCUAUUCUUGCUGACAUUUGAACCGCUUAUGGCGUCGGAAUUAGAUAAAUCUUAAGUAUAUAAACCCUGUGCGAUGUUUGUGAAAUUGCUUCACUUUCAUCCUUGUGCUGUGAGUGAGCUUAAUUGCAAUUGUUACUGAAUAAAUAAAUCUACUGAUCUACA